rnacentral:rRNA from 1 species
CGCAAGCCUGAUGCAGCCAUGCCGCGUGUAUGAAGAAGGCCUUCGGGUUGUAAAGUACUUUCAGCAGUGAGGAAGGUGGGUAUGGUUAAUAGCAUAUUCAUUUGACGUUAGCUGCAGAAGAAGCACCGGCUAACUCCGUGCCAGCAGCCGCGGUAAUACGGAGGGUGCGAGCGUUAAUCGGAAUUACUGGGCGUAAAGCGCAUGCAGGUGGUUUGUUAAGUCAGAUGUGAAAGCCCGGGGCUCAACCUCGGAAUUGCAUUUGAAACUGGCAAACUAGAGUACUGUAGAGGGGGUAGAAUUUCAGGUGUAGCGGUGAAAUGCGUAGAGAUCUGAAGGAAUACCGGUGGCGAAGGCGGCCCCCUGGACAGAUACUGACACUCAGAUGCGAAAGCGUGGGGAGCAAACAGGAUUAGAUACCCUGGUAG